GAUUGCGGUAUUCUUUAGUAAUGUGUGGCUCUUUGUUAUCCGUGGAGACAGGGGUGUGGUAAAACAAUUGACCAACAUACUAGGGAAAACAGCAUUCGACAAUCCUCGAUAGAAUCCGCUACUGUCUAUCCAUACGGAAUUGGCCGAGUUGAGACGAAUGGGGAAAAUAGAUGUUGGCUAAUGGUGCAAAGUUUUUUUUUUCUGAGAGUCGAUUUCAAAUAUAACCAUGACUACAAUACAUAUAAUUUGU
rnacentral:lncRNA from 1 species